UUACGUGAGUGAUGAAGGUUUCGGAUCGUAAACUCUGGUGUUAGGGAAAGACAAGUUGGGUAGUAACUGACCAAACUUGACGGGUACUAAACAGAAAGGCAGUAGUAACUACGUGCCAGCAGACGCGGUAAUACGUAGGUGGCCAGCGUUGUCCGGAAUUAUUGGGCGUAAAGCGCUCGCAGGCGGUCCUUUAAGUCUGAUGUGAAAUCUCGCGGCUCAACCGCGAACGGUCAUUGGAAACUGGAGGACUUGAGUACAGAAGAGGAGAGUGGAAUUCCACGUAGUAGCGGUGAAAUGCGUAGAGAUGUGGAGGAACACCAGUGGCGAAUGCGACUCUCUGGUCUGUAACUUGACGCUGAGGAGCGAAAGCGUGGGGAGCGAACAGGAUUAGAUACCCUGGUAGUCCACGCCGUAAACGAUGAGUGCUAGGUGUCACGGGGUUUCCGACCCUUAGUGCUGAAGUUAACGCAUUAAGCACUCCGCCUGGGGAGUACGGGCGCCAUGGUGAAACUCCAAAGAAUUGACCGGGGGCCCGCAACAAGCGGUGGAGCAUGUGGUUUAAUUCGAAGCAACAUGAAGAACCUUUACAAGUUCUUGACAUUCCUCUG
rnacentral:rRNA from 1 species